AGGAGGCAGCAGGAAGCUGGUCCCAUGAACAGUGUCCAUGCCCCCAUCCCCCAUGCUCCAGUGCCUCACUGUCCCAUCAGAGUUCACUUGCAAAACACACAUUCAAAGAUACGACUAUUAACAGUGUCAAGACUGGGACUGCAGAGCAUUAAACCACAAGCAUGGGAGCCCUUGUGAGCUAGGAUCCCUGUGGGACUGCACUGGUCAUGUGGCUCUGGUGUAGGAGCAAAGAAUAUGGAGCUGGCCCUGGGGGCAGGAGCAAAGGACGGGUAAGUGAGAUGAAAGUCAGAGCUUCCUGCCAGCAUGCCCAGCCUGGCCUAUUCCCAAUUCCCAAACAGGAUUCUUCCUAACCGGGACAACUCUGUGAAGACUGGCUUUGCUCUCUGGACAAAAGGCUUUUCUUCUCUUUACUACUGCCCUGCUUUCAGCACGGCCCUCCUCCUCCACCUCCCUUCCCUGCCUACUGUCCUGAUCCCCACUGCUGGGGGUCAGCAGGCUGCACAUUUCUGGACCACCGACAGUUUGAUAAUCAGCUAUCCUCUUGCGUCCUGUCGAGAAAGCAACAGUAAAUCUGCAGCUCUCUGAGAAGGAAGAAGGGGCCAAUUGCUCUCUGAUGGACUCACAGCCUAGAGCUGCAUCCCUCCAGUUGAGAACCAAA